rnacentral:rRNA from 1 species
UACGUAGGGAGCAAGCGUUAUCCGGAUUUACUGGGUGUAAAGGGCGCGCAGGCGGACUGGCAAGUCAGAAGUGAAAUCUGAGGGCUCAACCCUCAAACUGCUUUUGAAACUACUGGUCUUGAGUGAUGGAGAGGCAGGCGGAAUUCCCAGUGUAGCGGUGAAAUGCGUAGAUAUUGGGAGGAACACCAGUGGCGAAGGCGGCCUGCUGGACAUUAACUGACGCUGAGGCGCGAAAGCGUGGGGAGCAAACAGG